GCCGGGGUGGUGAAAUUGGUAGACGCGCUAGACUCAAAAUCUAGUGGGGGAAACCCCGUGUCGGUUCGAUUCCGACUCUCGGCA
rnacentral:tRNA from 1 species